GACAGAGGGUGCAAACGUUGCUCGGAAUUACUGGGCGUAAAGCGCGUGUAGGUGGAUUGGUGUGUCAGAUGUGAAGGCCCUGGGCUCAACCCAGGAACUGCACCUGAAACUACCAGUCUUGAGUGGUGGAGAGGGAAGUGGAAUUCCUGGUGUAGAGGUGAAAUUCGUAGGUAUCAGGAGGAACACCAGUGGCGAAGGCGGCUUCCUGGACACUAACUGACGCUGAGACGCGAAAGCGUGGGGAGCAAACAGG
rnacentral:rRNA from 1 species